UACGAAGGGGGCUAGCGUUGCUCGGAAUUACUGGGCGUAAAGGGCGCGUAGGCGGACAGUUUAGUCAGAGGUGAAAGCCCAGGGCUCAACCUUGGAACUGCCUUUGAUACUGACUGUCUUGAGUUCGGGAGAGGUGAGUGGAAUGCCGAGUGUAGAGGUGAAAUUCGUAGAUAUUCGGCGGAACACCAGUGGCGAAGGCGACUCACUGGCCCGUUACUGACGCUGAGACGCGAAAGCGUGGGGAGCAAACAGG
rnacentral:rRNA from 1 species